GGAGCUGCUCUGUGUAGCUGAGGCUGAAGACCAGUAAUCCUGAGGCAGAUGGUGUGGGCCUACCUGUUCCUCUGAAUGGAGCUCCUCUGUGCUCCUCUCCUGAGUCUAGGAGAUUUGAACACAUCCAUCCCCUAAGAGCUAAGCCAUCCUGCUGUCUCCGCCUCCUGAGUGGUAAAGACUACAGACUCAUUUCUUAAUCCACCUGAAGCCCGAAGGACCUUCCCGGAGCAGGAAAGUAGCAAGACUCCCCCUGAAGCAGCCCAUGAAGCAAGUCAGAGAGUCAGAUGAGAAAGAUGAGGUUUUCAAACAGGAAGUAAACUGGAGCAGAAGAGACUCAAGAAACUAAAAAGAGUUUGCUUCCUGGCACAACAUGGCACCUGCCACCCCUUUCCCAGACUCUGAUCUUAGCCUAUGGCUGGGGAUAAGUGACCGGAGCACUUACCUGAGUCCUGCCUUGGAUUUUGGUUGUCUCUGCCCCUUCUCCCGGGGUAUUCUAGGUUGUAUGGCUCUUUCUCUAGACCAGAGAGGGAGCCUUCUCAGAGAAACUUUCUCUCACCGUGUGUUGAUUUACUCGUAACACUCAUUCUCUAUGCUA